ACACGGGGAGGCGGCUGAGGCCCAGCAAGAAUUCAAGCUCCGCGGGGGCAGGCCAGCAGUGCUGGGGGACCCGGCGCACCCUCCGCAGCUGCUGGCCCGGGUGCUAAACCCCUCACUGCCCGGGCCGGCGGUGCCGGCGGGCUGCUCUCAGUGCGGGACCUCGGAGCCUGCGCCCACCCGGAACUAGCCGCGUUCAGCCCUGGUUCCCGCCCCCGCCUCUCCCGCCACACCUCUCCACAAGCAGAGGGAGCUGGCUUCAGCCUCAGCCAGCACAGAGAGGGGCCCCCAUAGCGCAGUGGCGGGCUGAAGGGCUCCUUGAGCAUGGCCAGAGUGGACGCCAAGGCUGAGGAGGCGCCGAGAGCCAGUGAGGGCUGCUAGCAUGUUGUCACCUCUCAAUACAUAAAACUACUGGAGGGUGGUUCCAAGAUGGCCAAAUAGGAACAGCUCCAGUCUACAGCUCCCAGCAUGAGUGAUGCAGAAGACGAAUGAUUUCUGCAUUUCCAACUCAGAGAGCUGACUUUAGAGGGAUCAAGAAUAGCUUGCUGGAUGGAAGGAGGUCAUCUUUAGGAGCUGGCAUGAAUUGCUGUGUUUCAGAACAGUCCACGCAGAGGAAUGAGGAGAAGAGGAUUCAUCCAUUAGCUUCCAUCUCCCAUUGGUGAAAGCUUGCCCUGCAACUCCUCCACACUUCUGGGUUGUAUGACCUGUCCUGCUACAGCCACUAUGGAAAUCUGAACCCAUGUUAGUAGCCACCUCCUCAGCAUGACCUGCAGCUUAUGGGGCAUGCAGUAAGUAGGAGCAAGCCAAGCGCCCUGCGGGCUAGACCUCUGGCACACUGCAGAACCAGCAUGAACCAGGGCAGGUAGUGAACACCGAGAGGGUCCCAUGGUACUGCCCACCAUAGAGACUAAAACAGAGCCUUUGGCAAGAGGCAGGAGGCUCUAGGCAUGAGGUGUUUUCGGUCAUAGCCACACAUUACCUCAGAUUCCAGGAGCAGCUGCUGCAGCAGACCCAGCUAGCCCAGCCUGCAGAUUGUCACCAUGAAGACAGAGAUGAUCCUUCCUCCAGUGAAGAGCAAAACUUCUUUGUGGCCUAUAUGACUGCUUGGUGCUGGGCAAGCUUCCUGAAGAGUCAUCAGCAGCUGGAGACCAUGGCUGAGUAAAUCCAGGGUGGGGGCAGGGCAUAAGCUGGGUCCAGUGCAUUAUCCAUCCUUUCUAGAUCUUGGCUUCUUUUUGAAUAAUGAGCAGUAGCAAUUGCUAUUUCCUCUUCUUCGCCAUUCCAAGCUUCCCUCUACAACAUCCUCUCUUUCCAGCUGUGUAGCAGGCGCAGCUCUAAGCCCAUGUGCUUGGGGUCUCUUACCCUUGGAAUUGCCUCCUUUGCCGGGCUUUCUAAGUUGUCUUACUGCUAGUUUUCAAGGAUCUUAAAAAUCCAUCCUCUUGUAUGAAGGCUUCUCUGGCUGAAUGGGCAUUAUUCUGGCGUAUUCCUCACCUUCCAAAUAAAAUCUAUGAGCAUGUUAUUUAGGUUCUAACAGCUUUAUCUGUUUUUGGUCCUGGCAAUGACUGUAUUUGGAAUGCUCUUUUUAAAUACUGUGGCUACUGAGAUCUCAUUGAGGGCAAAGAAUGGUUAAAAUAUCACUUAUAAAAGGCAGUCAACUUCUCUACAUAGGAGAUACCACAACUUUUGGCUGUAGACAGUGAGGAGGUAGGAAUACUGCUGGUUGCUACUAUUUUUCUUCUUUCUUUUUGCUAUUGUUCAUUAACAUCCCCUUAUUUCCUCUGAUUGUCUCACAAAGAGGGUAGUCUUUCUGCUUAAUCCUAUGGCUUGAGUCUCCUUAAUAAGGCAACAAGCUGCCCUGCAACAGAGAAAUGAAAUGCCUCACUCUUCCCCACCUCAAUUCCAUGGGGACUGGGACUCGAUAGGUCAGGGUUGAAGUUUGGGUCUUGGGGACCAGAGCUGGGUAGGGAGGGGAGGAAGUUACCAUAUGAGUGUCCCAGCAUGGAAAAAGUCAAAGGAUUAUUCUGAUCCACUGUCUUUAGGGAACAUGGAGGCUUAAAACCAGCAUAUGAAAAUACUGCCAUUAAACUGAAGGGGCCACCUUCAGGUUGGCUGAUGAGAGGCAAAGUCAAGAGUUAGGAGCUGGGUGAAACCAGAAGGACGUGAGAUCAGGAGCAAUAGGAGAAUGUUUUGGACAACUGCAAGAAUGAAGCUGGAGCUUGGGACCUGCCUUUAAUGGCCAUCAGCCAGGCGUAGUGAAAUAGAUGAAAAGCACAGCAUUGGGGUAGAUCAGAUGUAUGACCAGGACUGCACAUGUGGAAAGAGACUUUUAACAAGGGACACACCCAUCUUUGUAUCUCUAGCUGCUCGCAAGCACUGAAAUACACAUCGAUGGGAAAUAAACAUAUGUAGAUAACCAAUUUGAUCAAUGAAAUCAGUCAGCAGCAGGUAGAAUUUGCCCUCACACCUGGGCUUUGUCUCUGCUGGCUGAUGCAUGUGUUUCACAAUUAGUAAAUGCAAAGCAGCAUUUCCCACUCCACACACACAUACACCUUAGCCUGUUCUUGCCAUAAGCAAAAGGCCAACGCGUCCUUAUUUCACACUCAGUUUUGGAGUAGUUUGUGUUCCCUUGGGUAGGAAACUCCCUCUUCUUGUUUUCAAUAUGGUGACUUUUCAGCUUAUAGCCUGGGUAGGGAUGUGAUAUUUGGUUAAUGCCAAAUUUGCUCUGAAUGUUGCUGGCUUUAAUAUUUAUGUCCUGGAAAAUGCAGUUCUCCCCAUGGUUUGGAUAUUUUACAUCUACACGUUAUAUUGAGAAAGCCAGAGUUGAGGCUCGUGGAAAAAAAUAGCUAAAUUGAUGACUAAUUUUACAUCAGAAGCUUUUUCAACCAGAGAAACAGUAUGCUACAAGAGUAAGCAGGGCCACCCCACCCCUGAUCCCCUGCCCUCUGCCUGGAGAGAGGAGAUUCUCAAGUGUCUCUUUGAGAGAGGGUGGAGGAACCACUGAGCAGAGCCCAGCUGUGUGGACCCACACAGCAGAUGGUUCAGUUGAAACACAGGAGGCUGGAAGUUACUGUUCACUGGGCACUACUGACCAAGGCCCUUGCGUAAUGCAGCCACUUGUUAUGCUGAAGAGGAUUGUUUAGAAGGAAAAUGGGCUGGUUUUUCUUGCUUCACAUAUCCUUACUGGAAGGUCAUGACCGAUCUUUCUUACUGCCCACAUUUUUAUUUAUACACCAUAAGGAAUAAUUUCCAUCUCACUCUCCCCACUCCUUUGCCAGAACAUAUAGAAAUGUCUGUGUUCAAAAGGCUCUUGUUUUCUUGGCUGAAUAUCAAGAUUUUUUCCAGAUUGUCAACUCCUUAAGAGGGGAGAAGCAUAAAAUCCAGCUGUAGAAACCAAGAAGUGACCUAACAUGAUCCAGGUGUUUCCAGUUUUCUUAGGAAAGAAGGCGAGUAUGUAUGUCAUGUCUGAUGGGCCAUGUCUAGAGGAUACUGCCCGAUCACAUUAGGUUGCUGAUCACAGUUGUGAUGGUGGGUUGUGGGUGAGUCCACUGUGUGUAACAGCUAUAUCUGAUUUAUCAAAAUUGGUUUUGUAGUGGUAUUCUGAAAGUUCGUGACCUUAUUCAAUGCACAUAAAAAAGGAUUUAAAAGCAGUAAAAUUGUAAAGACAACAUGGUGGUAUGUAAAUGCAGGGAAAAGGCAGAGGAGAAACGGGCUUUAACUUUAGUUCUGCCACUUGCCAGCCAUGUUUCUGUGGAUAAGUCUUCAAUCUCUUUGAUUCUCAUGUUAAAAAUCCAUAAAAUGGAUAAAAUGUCUGCCCUUAAUGCCCCAUUAUAAAAUUAAAGUAUUGUAUUGGGGACAGAUUUAUUUAUACAAAUAACUUGGACAAAGCUAUGUAGAUAAAUGUACAUUUAGUGGUCUGCCAGCUUACCUGUUAAGUCAGUAGUAACAUUCCAAGCCACCAUCCAUCAACUGGAUAUGGUCUACUAUAUUUUUAGAUUCCAUUUUUUAAUGAAUUAAAAUUGAACAAGUCUGGCAGAAUAAACUAAUUUCCCAGAAUGAAUACCAUGCCACCUGCCAAAAUCUUCCUCAUCCACCCUGUCACCUACUUCUCAAAGCAUUCUUAGGUCUUCUAAUCUGUAAUGACUCCAUUAACUCCUGUGCCUUCCUAGCAUGGGUCAUGUCUGUGUCAGCUCUUACGGGAGGUUAGCGACUAUGGAUGAUGGUCAUCCGGGAGCAUGUCUGUCUUCCCCUGCAGAGAGGAGCCUAGUCUUAGUUGGCUUUGGGCCUGCCCACCUUACCUUGUAGAGUGCCAUGCAUGUAGGUACACAGAAAUGCUUUUUAAAUUGAAUUACUAUUUUUCUUCAGUAGACUAUACACGGGAGGGAAAAAAAA
rnacentral:lncRNA from 10 species